rnacentral:rRNA from 1 species
GAAAGGUGCGCGAUACAGGGUGACAGCCCCGUACACAAAAGCGCAUGUGCUGUGAGCUCGAUGAGUAGGGCGGGACACGUGGUAUCCUGUCUGAAUAUGGGGGGACCAUCCUCCAAGGCUAAAUACUCCUGACUGACCGAUAGUGAACCAGUACCGUGAGGGAAAGGCGAAAAGAACCCCGGCGAGGGGAGUGAAAAAGAACCUGAAACCGUGUACGUACAAGCAGUGGGAGCACAGGUUUACCUGUGUGACUGCGUACCUUUUGUAUAAUGGGUCAGCGACUUAUAUUCUGUAGCAAGGUUAACCGUAUAGGGGAGCCGGAGGGAAACCGAGUCUUAAUUGGGCGUUAAGUUGCAGGGUAUAGACCCGAAACCCGGUGAUCUAGCCAUGGGCAGGUUGAAGGUUGGGUAACACUAACUGGAGGACCGAACCGACUAAUGUUGAAAAAUUAGCGGAUGACCUGUGGCUGGGGGUGAAAGGCCAAUCAAACCGGGAGAUAGCUGGUUCUCCCCGAAAGCUAUUUAGGUAGCGCCUCGUGAAUUCAUCUCCGGGGGUAGAGCACUGUUUCGGCUAGGGGGCCAUCCCGGCUUACCAACCCGAUGCAAACUGCGAAUACCGGAGAAUGUUAUCACGGGAGACACACGGCGGGUGCUAACGUCCGUCGUGAAGAGGGAAACAACCCAGACCGCCAGCUAAGGUCCCAAAGUCAUGGUUAAGUGGGAAACGAUGUGGGAAGGCCCAGACAGCCAGGAUGUUGGCUUAGAAGCAGCCAUCAUUUAAAGAAAGCGUAAUAGCUCACUGGUCGAGUCGGCCUGCGCGGAAGAUGUAACGGGGCUAAACCAUGCACCGAAGCUGCGGCAGCGAACGUAUCACCCAAGACAACUUUACGGAGUUGACGAUUGACGGAGCGAAGCGACGUCAAAGCGUUCAUUAAAGUCGAGUUGGCUUAGGGAUACGUUCGUUGGGUAGGGGAGCGUUCUGUAAGCCUGUGAAGGUGUGUCGUGAGGCAUGCUGGAGGUAUCAGAAGUGCGAAUGCUGACAUAAGUAACGAUAAAGCGGGUGAAAAGCCCGCUCGCCGGAAGACCAAGGGUUCCUGUCCAACGUUAAUCGGGGCAGGGUGAGUCGACCCCUAAGGCGAGGCCGAAAGGCGUAGUCGAUGGGAAACGGGUUAAUAUUCCCGUACUUGGUGUUACUGCGAAGGGGGGACGGAGAAGGCUAUGUUGGCCGGGCGACGGUUGUCCCGGUUUAAGCGUGUAGGUGUGUGUUCCAGGUAAAUCCGGUU